AGUGAACGCUGGCGGCAGGCUUAACACAUGCAAGUCGAGCGGGCCCUUCGGGGUCAGCGGCAGACGGGUGAGUAACACGUGGGAACGUACCCUUUGGUUCGGAAUAACGCUGGGAAACUAGCGCUAAUACCGGAUACGCCCUUUUGGGGAAAGGCUUGCUGCCGAAGGAUCGGCCCGCGUCUGAUUAGCUAGUUGGGGGGGUAAUGGCCUACCAAGGCGACGAUCAGUAGCUGGUCUGAGAGGAUGAUCAGCCACACUGGGACUGAGACACGGCCCAGACUCCUACGGGAGGCAGCAGUGGGGAAUAUUGGACAAUGGGCGCAAGCCUGAUCCAGCCAUGCCGCGUGAGUGAUGAAGGCCUUAGGGUUGUAAAGCUCUUUUGUCCGGGACGAUAAUGACGGUACCGGAAGAAUAAGCCCCGGCUAACUUCGUG
rnacentral:rRNA from 1 species